UACAGAGGUCCCAAGCGUUGUUCGGAUUCACUGGGCGUAAAGGGUGCGUAGGCGGUCGGGUAAGUCUGAUGUGAAAUCUCACAGCUUAACUGUGAAACUGCAUUGGAUACUAUUCGGCUUGAGAGUUGGAGGGGGACUGGAAUUCUGGUGUAGCAGUGAAAUGCGUAGAUAUCAAGAGGAACACCAGUGGCGAAGGCGAGUCCCUGGACAACUUCUGACCGCUGAGGCACGAAAGCUAGGGGAGCAAACAGG
rnacentral:rRNA from 1 species